rnacentral:rRNA from 1 species
AUUGAACGCUGGCGGCAGGCCUAACACAUGCAAGUCGAGCGGAUGAAGGGAGCUUGCUCCUGGAUUCAGCGGCGGACGGGUGAGUAAUGCCUAGGAAUCUGCCUGGUAGUGGGGGAUAACGUCCGGAAACGGGCGCUAAUACCGCAUACGUCCUGAGGGAGAAAGUGGGGGAUCUUCGGACCUCACGCUAUCAGAUGAGCCUAGGUCGGAUUAGCUAGUUGGUGGGGUAAAGGCCUACCAAGGCGACGAUCCGUAACUGGUCUGAGAGGAUGAUCAGUCACACUGGAACUGAGACACGGUCCAGACUCCUACGGGAGGCAGCAGUGGGGAAUAUUGGACGAUGGGCGAAAGCCUGAUCCAGCCAUGCCGCGUGUGUGAAGAAGGUCUUCGGAUUGUAGAGCACUUUAAGUUGGGAGGAAGGACAGUAAGUUAAUACCUUGCUGUUUUGACGUUACCAACAGAAUAAGCACCGGCUAACUUCGUG